GCUUUGGUGGCAUAGUGGUUAGAGCAUCCGCCUCUGAUGCGGGAGGUCGUGGGUUUGAUUCCAGGUCGAAUCA